CCCUGCCUCCCCGCCCCGGGCCCCCGGGGAGGACCCUCCCCUCUCCCCCCCCGUCCGAGAAGAGCCCGCCCCCAGGAGCGCGCCGCCGCGCCGCCGCCGGCCGUCGGGGCCGAGCCGCAAGCCGAGCGGCCGUGGGCCCGGGCGGCGGGCGGAGACCGGGCGCCCUCCCCGCUCUGGCCCCCGUGAGGUGAACUGCCCGAGGCUACCAGUGUCCUUCCUCAGUGUCUCAAAGUCCUACUUGAUACAGUUCUUAAUAUUUUACCUGGAUGGAUGAGCCAGCAUAUCUGAGCUAGAAAUCAGGUUAAACUUGUUUCUUAAAUGAGACGCCAUCCCAGCACUGGACUCAUGGGGACUGAGCGUUUCCUCAGUGUGGGGGUAUUUGUGUGUGUGUGCGCA